AUAUGAAUAUUCUUGAUAUUCUGAUUUUGUAAUAACCAUGAGAGGCUAAAUAGUCACUAUAAUAAGACUGUUGAUGUGUCUUCAGAUCCAGUUCUUUACCUAUGCAAGGUCUUAUGAAUGCUGGUGAUAAAU